GCCGGGGUGGCGGAAAGGCAUACGCGGACGGCUCAAACCCGUCUGUCCGAAAGGACUUGGGGGUUCGAAUCCCCUCCCCGGCA
rfam:Friedmanniella sagamiharensis strain DSM 21743 genome assembly, chromosome: I